ensembl:lncRNA novel transcript, antisense to L3MBTL4
AGUAAAGUUACAAUUUUGCAGAGAGCAUGAGAAAACAAGCAUCCUGGUUCUGGUAAAAACAAAACAAGACAUCAUCCUGGAAAAAUGACAUUCCAGAACUGGAACACAUAGCUAAGCAUCCAUUGGAUAGCUGCAGCACUGAUCGCCCAGGCCUCGUGUGGCUGAGAUGAAAUCCACAAUUCCUCCAACACAAGCAAGAGCUCCAUCUCUGCCUGAAGUGAGCAGUUCAGCACUGCUCCCUGGCCUCCCGGCCCUUUUGUUCAAUGACUGCCAAGCACCCUCUCCUUCUCUUAAGAAAAGUCCAAUGGGUAACGAGAUGGCACAGUCCAGCACAGUGUGCUAAUUCACUGGACUUCUACCAGUAAAAAGUUUCCAAAACUCUCUGGAGAAUAAUCUCUUCAGAUUCUAAGGAGGAGCUAGCAGGAUGGUGGGUGAUGGGAUGGUAGGAGAAAAUAUAAACUAUAGAAAAGUGGCUUAAAUGUAAGCAGUGAGUAUCUGGUAGAGAGCAUGGGUCAAACAGGAUGCUGGGACACAGCACAUAAGG